GCCGCCUCUAACUCCCUCUUCUCUCAACUUCCCUCGAACUCUCUUGAAACCCUAAUCGUUUUCUGCCAUUUUCAACCCCCAAACCCACAAGAAUCCAUGGCCGUUCAAGCCAUGGACGACCUAUGCUUGCCCCCUACUGCUCUUAUGUACUUGAUGUCUGAAGGUUCGAGGCCAUACUUCAAGGGUCUUCGUUCAGACCUUUGUCGAUUCGAGGUUUUCAGCCAUCUCUAGCCUUGCUCCGGCAUAUCUUAGCCUCGUGAACCAUCUCAAACGUUAUCGACUCCAGAUCUGAUCUUGUUUCUUCCAAACCUUUCUCGUUUCUAGGGUUCUCUGAAAACUUAGCCUAUUCGAUAUUCUUUUUCAUUUAUUUUCUUAGAUUUGUGCUUGAUCUGUGCUAUAGUUGAUAUUUUAAGCGUCUUCCCCGAAUUUCCUUUUCAAAAAUCUUUUGAUUUCGAUCUAGGGGUUUUGAGUCUUUUUGUUAAUAUUUUGUUCGAUUCAUUUGCUUAUCAUAUCUAGGUUUAAUUGGUGUUGAAAAACCUAAUUUUUUGAGAUUUGUUUGAGUUUCUGAGUCUAUCUGUUUGAUUUACUUUGUUUACACCUGAUUAAUGUUGAAAACCCUAAUUUUUGGGGUUUAUUUGAGACUCUAAGACUGUUUAUGUGUUUCACUUGUUUAUCGCCUCUAAAGUAUACUGAUUUCGAAAACCCUAGUUCUUUGGGGUCUAUUCGAGUUCCUGAGAUUGUUUGUGCAACUCGCCUGUUUGAAAUUGCUCCAUCUGAUUCUUUACUUCAGCAUCUUGUUUCUUUAUGUGAUUCAUUUUGUUCUGAGUUCUUGAGAUUUGUUAAACUCGACUAUGUUUUCAGAAAGUUCACAUUUGACUCUUUGCAUGCUUCUGAUCUUUUUCUCUAUUACUAAGCCAAUGAAAAUUGACCUACGUGACUAUCAUGCUAUGAAUGCUUGCUGUCUACUAACUUUGUGCUAUUGCUGUAUGCUAUUUCUCUUGCCAUAGCUUGGCCUCACAUGUUUAUUACUUGUGCGCUUCAUUUAUAUAGUGACACCCUAUUGUGAUUGAUCUUCAAACUCGUGAUUGAUUAUCAAAACUAUUCCUCUGUGAAAUUUUGAUUUUACUCGGCUGUUAAGGGGAAAUUGAUUCGCUCUCUUUGUUUGGCCUUACCAGAUCCUUUCCAAAAAUAAGUACAUUCCUGUACUUAGACUAAAUCACUUACUAUAUAGUUUAACUACUCUUUUUAUGGCAACAAUCUUUCUACUUACAAAUUGAUUGUCUUUCCUUAUAUUAAUCAUGUUAGUAUCCAUUUGAGCAGUAAUCCCAUGAUUAAAGGGAAAUACUUGUGUUAAUUGAUUUUGACUGUGUUAUUUCCAUGUUUGUGUUAAAACCUUACUUGUUACCCUAUUCUCUACUCGUCUUCAAAACUAUAAAUACCUGUAGCUCUUCUCUUUCAAAAACAAGUUCUAACAAAACAAGCCACUACUUCUUCUCUCAAAUAUAGUUAGAAUUUCAUAAGCAUUCGAGUUCUCUGAACUUACAAAUUCAAAGUUCUCUUCUCAGAUUGUGGUUUGGCUGAAAGAAAUUCUGCUUUUUCUUUGCUUACGUUUUCUGCAACUGGUAUGUCUCUCUUUGUUUAAUUUCUGCCUCUUAACUACAUGUUUAUUCUUCAGGCUUUGCUUUGCUUUUUCUUACUGUUUCGAUGUUUUAAUUGCUGUAUGUUUACUUACUUCUUUAUCUCUGUGCUUACAUGAAUCCCUACCCCAAUUCCCUUUGUAUGUUGACUUAUGGUCAAAAAAGCAUGACAACACUUGACAUUGUUGCUCAUAUGUAUGGAUUUGACUCCCUGAGUCCUAAACUCUUCAAUUCCCAUGUCCCUUCCCCAUUUACAUGUAUUCUGAGUUUAAGACUGUGGUCUAGCAGUGUCCUAAUCAGUGUAUGGACCCUAGCAUGACCUUCAAUAGGUCUGUGCUCAUAUUUGUUGGCUGAACAGUUCUGUUCAGGGGUGUGCCAGUCUACCUUUUGACUAGGUAUGACCACCAUCCUGCCUUGGCACUUCCUAACCCCUCAAUUGUAUUGGCACUCACUCUUAGAACUUAAGUUUUGCCCCCCUCUUGUGAACCUUGC
rnacentral:lncRNA from 1 species